UGUGAGAACCAGGGGAAGAUGUGAGU
rnacentral:piRNA from 1 species